AGAGUUUGAUCCUGGCUCAGGAUGAACGCUAGCGGCAGGCCUAAUACAUGCAAGUCGGACGGGAUUGAGAAGCUUGCUUUUCAUGAGAGUGGCGCACGGGUGCGUAACACGUAUGUAACCUACCUUAUCCAGGGGGAUAGCCUCUCGAAAGAGAGAUUAACACCGCAUAACAUCACGAGGCGGCAUCGUUUUGUGAUCAA
rnacentral:rRNA from 1 species